UACUUUCUCUCCAUCUCUCGAGUCUGCAAUCCUCUGGUUUGCUUUGUUUUCAGGAAGGCUCUCCCCUGAGGAUGCCCACAGAUCCUGGCUCGCACUCAAGCAGCCCAGUGACCCCAGCACAAAGAGCAGACUUCCUAUUCAGUGCUUCUAGGAAAACUUCCAAGGCCAGACUCCAAACCAGCAGGGGUCACGUGUCCUUCUGGAGCCCAAACCCUGUGACCGGGGUGUGGCACCAGCUGAUGGGCUAGGCCUGGUGGAUGGAAUCUCUGCCUGAGAAUGGGCGAGGCCGGGACCUGAGGGAAAGGAGGAGCUGACGCCAGACCGAGGGGGUACUGAGCUUGCUGUAAGAUUGUGUUUGGGGACCUGCUGCUGCUGCUGAGUUUGGACCUUCUUGAUGCAGAAGGAAGCAUAUCCAGAGAAAAGGAAGGGGAGCCUCCCCAUCCUGCGUUUUGCCAGUGGCCACUGAGGAACCAGCAGCAAGGCGACUCCGAGGAAGAAUUCCCCAGGCUAUGUUUCCAGCCCCACCGCGUUCCUAGAAAUGCGUGUGGAUCCGCCCUGCACAGAAACCUCGUGUCAUACCAGGAAGCUGGGCUUGGGUCUCAGACUUGGCAUAUCCAGAAUGAAACCCUCCGUGCACCCUCCAGAUCUCUAACCAGCCCCUCCCCAUGCAGUAAAUGUGAGCUCAGGCCAGACCUCGGGGUCAUCCAGGUGCUCAGGCCAGAUUCGGGGUCAUCUCUGUGCCCCCUCCCACCCUAUUGUCAACCUCUAGGAAGUCUUGUCUGUUCUGUAUUCCAGAACUGCCCGGUCCAUCUACCCUGA
rnacentral:lncRNA from 12 species